UACGUAGGGGGCAAGCGUUGUCCGGAUUUACUGGGCGUAAAGCGCACGCAGGCGGUGGAUUAAGUUUGGUGUGACAGUUGGUGGCUUAACUGCCAAAGUGCUUCGAAAACUGAUCGACUUGAGGGCUUCAGAGGGACACGGAAUUCCGGGUGGAGUGGUGAAAUGCGUAGAGAUCCGGAGGAACACCGCAGGCGAAGGCAGUGUCCUGGGGAGUACCUGACGCUCAGGUGCGAAAGCCAGGGGAGCGAACGGG
rnacentral:rRNA from 1 species